UACGUAGGUGGCAAGCGUUGUCCGGAAUUACUGGGCGUAAAGCGUGCGCAGGCGGUUUUGUAAGUCAGAUGUGAAAUCCCCGGGCUUAACCUGGGAACUGCGUUUGAAACUACAAGGCUAGAGUGUGGCAGAGGGAGGUGGAAUUCCACGUGUAGCAGUGAAAUGCGUAGAGAUGUGGAGGAACACCGAUGGCGAAGGCAGCCUCCUGGGCCAGCACUGACGCUCAUGCACAAAAGCGUGGGGAGCAAACAGG
rnacentral:rRNA from 1 species